rnacentral:rRNA from 1 species
AGAGUUUGAUCCUGGCUCAGGACGAACGCUGGCGGCGUGCCUAAUACAUGCAAGUAGAACGCUGAAGAGAGGAGCUUGCUCUUCUUGGAUGAGUUGCGAACGGGUGAGUAACGCGUAGGUAACCUGCCUUGUAGCGGGGGAUAACUAUUGGAAACGAUAGCUAAUACCGCAUAACAAUGGAUGACUCAUGUCAUUUAUUUGAAAGGGGCAAAUGCUCCACUACAAGAUGGACCUGCGUUGUAUUAGCUAGUAGGUGAGGUAACGGCUCACCUAGGCGACGAUACAUAGCCGACCUGAGAGGGUGAUCGGCCACGCUGGGACUGAGACACGGCCCAGACUCCUACGGGAGGCAGCAGUAGUGAAUCUUCGGCAAUGGGGGCAACCCUGACCGAGCAACGCCGCGUGAGUGAAGAAGGUUUUCGGAUCGUAAAGCUCUGUUGUAAGUCAAGAACGAGUGUGAGAGUGGAAAGUUCACACUGUGACGGUAGCUUACCAGAAAGGGACGGCUAACUACGUGCCAGCAGCCGCGGUAAUACGUAGGUCCCGAGCGUUGUCCGGAUUUAUUGGGCGUAAAGCGAGCGCAGGCGGUUUGAUAAGUCUGAAGUUAAAGGCUGUGGCUCAACCAUAGUUCGCUUUGGAAACUGUCAAACUUGAGUGCAGAAGGGGAGAGUGGAAUUCCAUGUGUAGCGGUGAAAUGCGUAGAUAUAUGGAGGAACACCGGUGGCGAAAGCGGCUCUCUGGUCUGUAACUGACGCUGAGGCUCGAAAGCGUGGGGAGCGAACAGGAUUAGAUACCCUGGUAGUCCACGCCGUAAACGAUGAGUGCUAGGUGUUGGAUCCUUUCCGGGAUUCAGUGCCGCAGCUAACGCAUUAAGCACUCCGCCUGGGGAGUACGACCGCAAGGUUGAAACUCAAAGGAAUUGACGGGGGCCCGCACAAGCGGUGGAGCAUGUGGUUUAAUUCGAAGCAACGCGGAGAACCUUACCAGGUCUUGACAUCCCGAUGCUAUUUCUAGAGAUAGAAAGUUACUUCGGUACAUCGGUGACAGGUGGUGCAUGGUUGUCGUCAGCUCGUGUCGUGAGAUGUUGGGUUAAGUCCCGCAACGAGCGCAACCCCUAUUGUUAGUUGCCAUCAUUCAGUUGGGCACUCUAGCGAGACUGCCGGUAAUAAACCGGAGGAAGGUGGGGAUGACGUCAAAUCAUCAUGCCCCUUAUGACCUGGCUACACACGUGCUACAAUGGUUGGUACAACGAGUUGCGAGUCGGUGACGGCAAGCUAAUCUCUUAAAGCCAAUCUCAGUUCGGAUUGUAGGCUGCAACUCGCCUACAUGAAGUCGGAAUCGCUAGUAAUCGCGGAUCAGCACGCCGCGGUGAAUACGUUCCCGGGCCUUGUACACACCGCCCGUCACGCCACGAGAGUUUGUAACACCCGAAGUCGGUGAGGUAACCUUUUGGAGCCAGCCGCCUAAGGUGGGAUAGAUGAUUGGGGUGAAGUCGUAACAAGGUA